ACAAAAAAGGCAAAAUUGUCGUAAGGCAGUGACGCAAAGCCACAGAUCCUGUUACAAUAACAGGAUGGCUGGGUUGCAG
rnacentral:ncRNA from 1 species